rnacentral:rRNA from 1 species
GACGAACCGUGCGAACGUUAUUCGGAAUCACUGGGCUUAAAGGGCGCGUAGGCGGGCUGACAAGUCAGGGGUGAAAUCCCACGGCUCAACCGUGGAAGUGCCUUUGAUACUGCCAGUCUGGAGGGAGGUAGGGGCGUGCGGAACUUCCGGUGGAGCGGUGAAAUGCGUAGAUAUCGGAAGGAACACCGGUGGCGAAAGCGGCGCGCUGGACCUCUACUGACGCUGAGGCGCGAAAGCCAGGGGAGCAAACGGG